UAGAGUUUGAUCCUGGCUCAGGAUGAACGCUGGCGGCGUGCCUAAUACAUGCAAGUCGAGCGAACUGAUUAGAAGCUUGCUUCUAUGACGUUAGCGGCGGACGGGUGAGUAACACGUGGGCAACCUGCCUGUAAGACUGGGAUAACUUCGGGAAACCGAAGCUAAUACCGGAUAGGAUCUUCUCCUUCAUGGGAGAUGAUUGAAAGAUGGUUUCGGCUAUCACUUACAGAUGGGCCCGCGGUGCAUUAGCUAGUUGGUGAGGUAACGGCUCACCAAGGCAACGAUGCAUAGCCGACCUGAGAGGGUGAUCGGCCACACUGGGACUGAGACACGGCCCAGACUCCUACGGGAGGCAGCAGUAGGGAAUCUUCCGCAAUGGACGAAAGUCUGACGGAGCAACGCCGCGUGAGUGAUGAAGGCUUUCGNGUCGUAAAACUCUGUUGUUAGGGAAGAACAAGUACNAGAGUAACUGCUNGUACCUUGACGGUACCUAACCAGAAAGCCACGGCUAACUACGUGCCAGCAGCCGCGGUAAUACGUAGGUGGCAAGCGUUAUCCGGAAUUAUUGGGCGUAAAGCGCGCGCAGGCGGUUUCUUAAGUCUGAUGUGAAAGCCCACGGCUCAACCGUGGAGGGUCAUUGGAAACUGGGGAACUU
rnacentral:rRNA from 1 species